CUUUGCCCCACCACCCUCUCACUUAUAACCCAAAACACACACACACGCACACACACACACACACACACACACACACACACCCUUUCCCUCUUGCCCUACUUGCAUCCACCAUCACCUACAAUCUGGUAUCCACCCACAUUCACGUGUACAACCUGCCCUCAGUACUCAUUCUUCUUAUACUUCUGCAUUCCCACACUGAGCCUUACCCUCACACGCCCAUACCAACCUUUAUCUAUAGUCCCACACACAUGCACGCACACAGAGACACCUCUGCCCUACCCACCCUCACCUACCCCCUUCUACAAUCCUGCAUAUACAUGCACACCUUCACCCAUACAUACCCACCCUCGCCUACAAACCUAUAUCCACGCAUAUUCAUACCUGACCACAACUACCUAACCAGCGGUUUGAUGCCACACUUUAGAAAGGUUCAUACACCCUACUUUUAAAAACCAUCAUGAUUUAGGCUGGAAUUAGUAAACUGCUAUUUGAUUUUACAGAUAAAGUUUCAAAAGGUUAAAUAAUUGAACAAGGUCACACUGCUAGCAGUUUCUAAGAGUCCUAAAAAGAACACAGGUGUCUGAAGCUCUGUCCAAUGUUCUGUCAUUCACAUCACAGCUGUCUACAUACGUCUCUUUGAAACAACCUGAACUCUUCUCUCAAUAUAAAAUUGAGGUGAAAUACCAAAUUAAGGCACAUGGGUCCGUUAUUGCCAAAGUGAUGGAUUUCCUGACAACCAUUCCACCCAGAAGAUUUUUUUUCCCAGAACUAAUAAUCCCAUCCCCGUUGCUGGUGAUUAACUUAAUAACGAGCAUGACAAUCAACAAACAGAUUGAAAAGGCAACCUACUCAGAAUGGGAGAAAAUAUGAAACCAUAUACCAGAGAUGAAAGUAAUAUCCAGAAUAUAUAAAGAAUUCCUACAACUUGAUAACAAAAACACCCCAAUCUAAAAAUGGACACAGAAUUUAAAUAGACAUUUCUCCAAUGAAGAUGGCCACCACACAUGUGAAAAGAUGCUCAACAUCACUAAUCAUCAAGGGAAAUGCAAAUCAAAACCACAAUAGCACAAUGAGAUAUCAUUUCAGACCCCGUAUGAUGUUAGGAUGGCUACUUUCAAAAAAACAGAAAAUAAGUGUUGGUAAGGAAACACCUGCACACUGUUGAUGGGAUUAUAAAAUGGGCAGCCACUAUGGAAAAUAGUAUGGAGGUUCCUAAAAAAACUGCAAUUAGAAUUCCCAUAUGAUCCAGUCAUCUCCUACUGCAUAUAUAUCCAAAAGAAUUGAAAGCAGGAUCUUGAAAAGAUAUCUGCUCUCCUAUGUUCAUGCAGCAUUAUUCACAACAGCCAAGAUGUAGAGGUGAUUCAAAUGUCCAUCAGUGAAUGAAUAGAUAAAGAAAUGUGGUAUAUACAUACAAUGGAAUCUUAGCCUAAAAAAGAAAGAAUUCCUGUCAUAUGCUACAGCAUGGAUGAACCUUGAGGACCUUAUGAUGGAUUCUGCUCUGUCGCCCAGGCUGGAUUGCAGCGGUGUGAUCUCGGCUCACGGCAACCUCUGCCUCCUGGUUUCAAGCAAUUCUCAUGCUUCAGCUUCCUGGGUAGCUGGGAUUACAGGCGCGCGCCACCAUGUCUGGCUCAUUUUUUUUUUUUUUUUUUUUUGUAUUUUUAGUAGGGACGGGAUUUCGCCAUGUUGUCCAGGCUGGCCUUGAACUCCUAGCCUCAAGUGAUCUGCCCUCCCAAAUGCUGGGAUUACAGGCAUGAGCCACUGUGCCUGGCCCAAGUCUAAUCUUUUUCAUCCAAGAUUCCAUAUCUCCAAAAAUUGGGCACCAAUUUACUUUCCCACUUUUUUCCUUCCAACAAGUCUGGGUAAUUCCCAUGGGAUUGUCAGCCUGUUCUUGUCUGCAUUUUUUGUUUGUUCAUUAGUUCAUCUGUUUAUUAACGUUUUGAGUACCUAUUAUAAAGCUAAUGUAAAGCUUGGUGCUCUGGGGUGAUAUGAACAAAAUGCAAAAAUUAGUUUGCGCUGUUCUGAAGCUUAGAAUUAAUCACCUCUUCUCUGCGACCCUGAAGUACUUUGUACAUGCUCUGGUGCAGCUUUUUCAUACACUGUUAAUGGGUUAAUCACCCAUAUAUGGUAAAUCUCCAGCACCUGGUAAAAUAAGUGACUUAUAUUAGACAUCUGUAUACUUUGUAAACAUAUAGUUUAUACAGAGAAACAUGACAUCUACACAUGUAAUACACAUAUAAUAAUACUAUCAAUACAAGUUAUAGUUAGGAGACAAAGUGAGUUGUAUUAACAGGAAAUACUAUAACAGUGCUAAGAAAAGGAAAAACCAAAUAAUUCCUUUGUUCAUGCUGUAUUUUCAUCAUUAAAUGUCCUUCCUCAUCUGUGUUCUAUUCCAUACCCAGCUGAAUACUUCUUCUGUGAUGUCACCCAAGACUACAGCUCUUAUCACGUCUUGAUGAAUUAAAUCUCUUUUUGCAACAACUUAUCAAGUAUACAUGAAUCCUCAAUAAAAUUAUAAAACUUUCGGGCAGUCACUGGUAACAUUUGCCUCUAUGUCUCUUACAGUAUCUUGUAAAAAACAGAUCCUCAGAAAUUAUGGGAUGAUUUUGUUUGCCAGAUGCAUGGAAUGAGCUACUUUAAAUUUCACAUAAAAUUCUAAAGUAGACUCUUAUGAAUAAAAUAUUGAAUGUAAUGCAUACAUGCUAUUU
rnacentral:lncRNA from 1 species